AUGGCAAACUACUGUAUAAAACUCUUGAACAGGAUUGGCCAGCCCUCUGGAUUGGUUAGAGGGACAUCAUUGUCUAAAAGGAAGCAAGAGAACCAGGUAUUCACCCCUGAAAAUGGCAAACGUUGCAGAAUACACCAUAAAUAAAGUUAUUUCCAUCUGAUGUCCUAUGAAGUGAUUAAUAAGGUAAGUAUAUCCUUGAAGGAUCUCUCAGCUCAUGAAACUGUUCAGUUAUUUUCCUACUUAAUCAGGCAAAACUGUUAAUAAAAUGAACUGAUCCAAAUUUUACCCCA
rnacentral:lncRNA from 1 species